rnacentral:rRNA from 1 species
AACGUAGGAGACAAACGUUAUCCGGAGUUACUGGGCGUAAAGGGCGUGUAGGCGGUUUGUUAAGUCUGGCGUGAAAGCUCUCGGCUAAACCGGGAGAGGUCGUUGGAUACUGGCAAACUAGAGGACGGUAGAGGCGUGUGGAAUUCCGGGUGUAGUGGUGAAAUGCGCAGAGAUCGGGAGGAACACCCGUAGCGAAGGCGGCACUCUGGGCCGGUACUGACGCUGAGGAGCGAAAGCGUGGGGAGCAAACAGG